AGCAGCCGCGGUAAUUCCAGCUCCAAUAGCGUAUAUUAAAGUUGUUGCAGUUAAAAAGCUCGUAGUUGAACUUCGGGAUCAAUGAAUCGGUCAUGCUUUAGUAUGUACUGGUUCUAUUGGUUCUCACCUUCUAAGGAACCAUAAUGUCAUUCAUUUGAUGUUGUGGGGAAUUAGGACUGUUACCUUAGAAAAAAUUAGAGUGUUUAAAGCAGGCUAACGCUUGAAUACAUUAGCAUGGAAUAAUGAAAUAGGACAUCGCAUUCUAUUUUGUUGGUUUCUAGGAUCGAUGUAAUGAUUAAUAGGGAUAGUUGGGGGCAUUAGUAUUCAAUUGUCAGAGGUGAAAUUCUUGGAUUUAUUGAAGACUAACUACUGCGAAAGCAUUUGCCAAGGAUGUUUUCAUUAAUCAAGAACGAAAGUUAGGGGAUCGAAGACGAUCAGUACUACCGUCGUACGUACUUAACCAAUAACUAUCGCCGUACGUAGGAGUCGUAGUGUAUGUUGUUAUUUUUAUCGUCUAC
rnacentral:rRNA from 1 species